GUGCUUGCUUCAGUAGCACAUAUUCUAAAAUUGGAAGGCUACAGAGAAUAUUAUCAUGUAGCAUGGCACCUACACAGGAUGAUAUAUAAAUUUGUGAAGCAUUCCAAAUUUUU
rnacentral:snRNA from 1 species